ACUUGAGGAUGAACACCUAUGUCUGUUCUCUGGUAUCCACACAUGUAUACACACAUGAGUACACAUAAUGAACUCACAUAUGCACAAACACAUCCACACAAAGAUGGGAUUAAACAUGGGUGAGAGACUGGAUGGAGUGCUUCAGUUCUGUUGGGAUACUUGACAAGGAUGUUCGCUGAGGAAGAGAACAGUGGAGUGCUAGUGUUAUCCUGGAUCAUAGAGGCUGCCCAAGUGAAUUCAGAUAUUCAUUAGAGAGACUGGCGAGAAGACAGGAAAGAGAGCUUGCCCUGGAGAACAACUGGCUCGAACUGAAUUGUUCAUUUUCUUCACUGCUCUUAUGCAAAAUUUCACCUUCAAACCUCCAGUCAAUGAGACGUUGAGCCUAAAGUUCAGAAAUGGCCUCACCCUUGCCCCAGUCAGCCACCGCAUCUGUGCUGUCCCCAGACAGUGAUGCUGGAGAAGCAAAGAGAAAGGAAAGAAGGAAUGACUUGCCCUUUGAAACCACUGGUGCCUACACACAUAGGAGGAAACAGAAUGAAGGUGACAGAGAAAAGAUGGGAAAACUUAGAGUAGAGAAACUGAAUCAAAUUCCUGGACUGCCGGCCCCUCAAGUUGGUUCUGAGUAUACACUUAUGUGCUCAUAAAAUUGCUGAAAGAAGAAUUAUUCUUUUCAUUUUUAAAGUGUAUGUAAAGGGAUACAGUGUAUUAAGAAUACUAUUUAACUUAUAAAUCACAUUAAAAGAGGUGUGCUUUC
rnacentral:lncRNA from 1 species